rnacentral:rRNA from 1 species
CGCGCGCGCNCGAGGUGAGUACACGUAUGGAACCUGCCCGCAGCAGGGGGAUAAGCGGAAGAAAUUCCGUCUAAUACCGCGUAACAACGUUGGGAGGCAUCUCCCGAUGUUUAAAGAUUUAUCGGCUGCGGAUGGCCAUGCGGCGCAUUAGCUAGUCGGCGGGGUAACGGCCCACCGAGGCGACGAUGCGUAGGGGUUCUGAGAGGAAGGUCCCCCACACUGGUACUGAGACACGGACCAGACUCCUACGGGAGGCAGCAG